CCACCCAAUGGAACCAGUCAGACUCCUGUAUUGGGAUCAUAAGUCACAGAUAGUGAAAUUUGCAAGGUGGUUCUGCUAGGGCAUUCACAUCCUUGGUGUGGCUACAUUUACCAGUUUGCAGUAAGCUUCAAUCCUCUCCUACAUCAUCCUCUCAAACCACAAGAUCUGAUGUAUCUCUACUUCUGCUUAUAUUGCACUCCCAAAUUGCCUUUCACAUUCUUCCUGAAUCGCAUACAAAACCUUUGCCUGAGAGCAAAGCAGUCUCAAGGAAUGGGGAACUAGAGCAGGGUCUGAGGCUGCAGGACAACCCACCUCUGACAAACUGCUCAGUGAGAGGCUGUGUCCUGCAUGCCGGGGUUAGGAAGGCACACCAGCGGAAGCAGCUUUUCCCAAAACACCUGCUGCUCACCCAAACUCACCUGCCUCACCUCAGCAUACAUAUAUAUCAUUGCAACUGUGUCAGAAGACCAGGAAUGCAUCAUGGAAACCCUUCCCCUGUAACCGUAGCUGAGUGUAACAUUUGCAAGUGUGAAGAGCUCAUGUUUGUGCAAUAGCGCUUCUGUACACUGUGUUCCACCUGGGCCACGGGAAGAGGAGUUCACCGUGACCCUUUUGCAGCAUCAGAUUUAGGCACAGUCACACUCUCCUGGCAUGAAGGAGAUGAGGGAGGGAGUGGGGAGCCGAAGUCUCCAAUUUGCUGCUAGCUGAAGCAGCAAGUCGAAGUGACAAAAUUCAGAUUUCCACCCACUGUCUUCUAAAUUUGACAUUGUGAUGCUAUCAUUUUCCACAGUUUAUCUGAGGAAAAGCUACUUUUAGGAAUAGCAGCUGAGUCUACUCCAUAAAAUUCAAAUUCAAGAAAUCAAGUCAUUUUAUUGCUCCUUGUGCCAGGCAGCAGUGCAGGCAGUUCAGAGAGGGUACCAGUCAGAUUGACUUGGGUGGCCAGGACACGGCCAAGGCUGCUACAACAACCGGCCUGCAGGAGGGAACACAUAGUCACUGUCAGAUUGUUAGUAGAACACUCAGACAUUAUCUCAAAUUUCUUUUGUUAAAUGGGAAAUCCAGUGUUACUACAAUAGGCUAUAAGUAUGGGAUAAUCUCUACUUAAGGAAGAGAUAGAAACAUCACUAUUUAUUCUCUACUUAGGCGGAGACAGACAAUGCUUUUAUUAAUCAACUGUCUCGUAAGCAUAACUACUACUUGGUGCAUGGCAAAAACAGAGGAUGCACCGAGAUGCAAACAAUGCUGAGCAUUUGCCAAUCAUUUGUAAAUAAUGUGAGACAUGGAUUGCUUUUAAACUGCCAAAAUUCACUGGCAGAGUGAUGGCAAGUUAGUGAUAUUAAUGAAGUUAAUCACUCCAUGCAAAGUGGAAGAUGAGACUUUGGAAAGAAACAAUCCCAAAAUACUCAAUAACCUGGUGAAUGGAGGAGCACGCAAGAGCCAUAAGAAAGCAGAGGAAGCAACAACCACAGCUAGUGGAUGAAGGCACAUUGUUUCCCCCACCAUUUCAUGUAUCUCCCAAAGGAAGUUCUUCCAUCACACGCGUCCCAUUAUUAUGAGUUAAAUUUACAGAAGAUUGGAGUGCCAGGACUCCACUGAUACUACCUCUCCUAAAGGCUGUCUGAAACACUUACCCAUCCUUGCCAGGAGCAUUUUGCAAAGGAAUAGCUGGCAGUUCUGUUCUCCACUUAGCACUUAUCCUGCACGUCAUGCAAUAGGAUGGGUUUUUAAGACAAAUAUGUUGCUCAGGUUGAAAAAGCAUAAUAAUCAGAGCUAGGGAUAAGCUUAUCGGUUUUGCGGGGGAAAAAAAAAAAAAACUAAGCAAAGAUCACAAGAUUUUUGUAGCAGAAAUCAGAAUUUACAUUUUGUUUAAAUAAUAUCACGUGCAGUGGGAUCCCAACCUAGAUAGGGCCUCCAGAUGCUCAGAAAAUAAAUUAUAAUACUUAAAAUAUUUGUUUAUUUCAAUAAAGCUAAUAAUGUUUCU
ensembl:lncRNA